AGGGUGGUGGUGGUGGAAUUACCUGCAUAUUGCAAGACGGCCGCGUGUUUGAGAAAGCUGGCGUCAAUAUCUCCAUCGUCACUGGCAGCCUGACCCAACAGGUCGUUCAACUGAUGAAGACAAGAGGGAAGACACUUUUAAGGGAAAAUAUGCCCUUCUUUGCCAUAGGAAUCAGCAGUAUUAUUCAUCCGAGGAACCCCC